rnacentral:lncRNA from 1 species
UUUAGUCCUUGUGCUUCGAUGGAACCAAAUUCCAGUAUAUGGAUUGCAAACCUUUUCUGCUUUGGGUCUUAAGUGAAUGAAAGGGUGGGUUAAAAAACCAUGGCCAGCCGCCCACAAGAAAUCUCGCCCGUAGGGUACUGAUGGGAUGCUAGCUGCCGGUAUACACGAAAAACGUGGUGUAGAGCACGAACAAGAUGUGCUAACACAUAUCCCUUAUAUUUAUUGGUUCUACAGAAGAUGUAUGAUAAAGAGCUGGCAUUAAGU